CACAUUACACAUUUAUUCCUUUUCUUUUCGGCAGAAGCAGUAGGCCAAAAAGAAAGAAAAAAUUCAGUUUUUCUUUCUUUCUCUUUUCACGAUCGUAUGCAGCAGUUGAAGGAGCAACGUCUAUUUCUUCUUCUUUUUGUGCUACUUUAUCGUGGAUUUGGGACGGCGGCGGCGUGUGUCGGCAGGUUUUGUCGCACAUCUGAUGAAUUUGCCGUGAGUUUGCCGGAGAUCUUUGGGGUACUUUUCUUCAUCAAAUAUUUGGAGAGGUCAGUGUUUGUUCUAGGCAUCAUCGUUUUGGAGCUACAAGCUGCGGCACGGCGGGGAAGGGAAUCUGCAUUGGAGGGGGGCAAAAGAGUCCGUCGCCGGGGAAGGGAAUCUGCAUUGGAGGGGGGCAAAAGAGUCCCGUGACGAUGGAGGCGCCAGAAUUUGGGGCUGGACUGAUAGUUGGAUUGCACAUUAAUCGCUAUAUGCUCACAGGAUGGAAAGCCACUGCUUGGAGACGCAUUGGAGGCGCAGAACAGAUCUGGGGGCAAUCCAAGCAGAAUUUGUAAUAACAAAUCUUCGGCGUCCAACAUCUUCAUUAGAAUUAGAAUUCCUCAACAAAGACAAAUCCUUCUAACUACAACCUUUUAAUCACUCAAUUAAGGUUGAAAUAAGAAUCCUAAUUCAAAUUAAAUACUUGUCAAAGUCUGCCAAAUGGGCCG